CUCUGAUUCAAAUCAGGAGAGAGGCAGAUAGAUAUUCCGGCGAUUUCUUGGAUUCAAUCGUUUCGUCAUCAUAUUUUGAUCUCAGAUUAUCAACCAUGUAUGAGAAGAUUGUGUAUGCUAUCUUGAAUCAUGGUGCAUGAAUCAUUUGGUUGCAGUUAAUGAAGAUUGUUGGGCAUUGAUACGAUGCAGGGAUGAUUACCUCUUGAUUAUUCUAUUUAUAAAUGGUGGAUGUCACUAGGGUUGAAGAUUAUUAUAUUGAUGUCUAAGAGACGGGUAAAAGCUCUUAUGGACAGGAUCAUUAGUCCCAUAUUAAGGACUUCAUGUGGAAGAUGAAGAAUUCACCGCAAUAAAAUUGUUAGGGAGAAAUAAGGAAUACCUAUGAUGUGCACUGGGUGCUUUACUUAUCCCUCCAUUGAUGAUUUACUACCCUUCUUGCUUACGACUUCGUACUUUUUGUUUUCAUGUAACUUGUUAAAAUGGAUGAUACUAUCUUAUUUAUUUUAAGAAUUUAGUUUGGUUUUUACUUUAA